rnacentral:lncRNA from 1 species
AGAUAAUAACUCGAGGACAGUAAGUGCCUCUAGGCUGUGGCUCAUAGAGACUUUCCCCACAACUUCCUCACGACUGUUAAGUUCAUUUUAGGAGCAAGAGUGUCUUCUAUUCCUCAACCAUGACCUCUGGUCAUUCUUCAUUGCUUAGAGCAGAAGAACAUGGGCCUGUGAGUUUGGAGGAGAACGAGAAGACAUGCCCUGGCUUUAGUCCACAUCACAAUUUCCAAGACAAGCUGGAUGGGUUGAGAAGCAAGAAGCAGUUCCUGGUUUUGAUCCAGGGCCCCCCUACUGGUCACCUGUCAGCUGGGAUGGACACUAAUUCCCACCUGAGUUGGCAGGGUGUAGGUUUGUCACCUGUGCAGUCCUGUUCUGUCUUUCCUGCAAAGCUAGCAAAGAACUGACCACAAGGAGCAGAGCCACAGCCUGUCUGGAGUCAUUGAACACUGCACAGUGUUGGCUUUGUUUUGUUUUUGUAUAAUGAAGCCUUGAUGAGGCUUAAGAUCCCGCGUCAAUCAGCUGGGUAUACAGACCCAGGUAAUACUGCCUUGUUGAGAAAGGACAAGCCUGAGAACCUCCCCAGGUGGUUGAUCGCUUCCAGUCAAGUCUGUGGAUGAUGCUGAAUGCUGUCCAGUUACACAGCCGGUCUGUUAUCAAAAUAGGAUCCUUAACCUACUUAGUUAAGAAGUGGCCUUUUGAGUCACAGUUUUCUUAGGUCCUGGGAUACAAUAGAAGGAUUUCUAUUUAAGCCUCAUCCAACUUUCCACCUGUGUCAUAUCUACAUGAGUUUAUGCCCCCAUGUCAUGUCUACAUGAGUUUACACCCCCAUGUCAUGUCUACAUGAAUUUAUACCUUCACGUAAGCAAGCAUCCAUCCUCAUAGGUCUCCCCGGAGUGUCCUGAGAUUCAGGACCAGGAAUUACAGCAACCACGCUGUGCUGUGCAAUACUUUUUUGUGUAUUAUUGAUGGUACUUUGUGGAAGUAAAUUGUACCACCCCCACAGUUCCUCAAGCCAUCACUGCCAGUCUAUUAGCAUUUUGUGGCCGGAGGGGACAGCUGGCUGGCUGUUUGAGCCCUGUGAAAGAUCCCACCGGCAAAGCAGCAUGCCAAAAGUGC